rnacentral:lncRNA from 1 species
CCCCCCCUGCGCCGCCACAGUGCAACCCUAACAUAGACAGAGAAAGGGAGUGCAGCGAGAGAGAGAGAGAUUUCCAUCGCCGAUGGAAUUCGGGCGCCAGCAAGGUUUUGCGGGUGUUGGGCUGACCUCAUUGCAGCUGGGUGAAAGGCUAAUUAGUGGGGCGUCUGCGGGACUGGGGAGCAAUUCCUCGCCGUUGAUCGAUCUCCGCCGCGAGCAGCUUCACCCCCGUGACCGGGUACCUCUACGACGUCAGGGCCGGUAUGUCAUCCAUCCAUGUGUUCACUGUAGUCUCCGCAUUGUGUCGAUGCUGUCAAAUUUUGGAAUGGACUCCUUGGGCGCGGUCGUGCAGUUCACCGGCGAAAUCGCCACCGCGGUGGCAGCCUCGACUGCUGUGUGCCUAGCGUAAGGGAGGAAGAAAACGUUGUCGCCGCUAAUCUUGGGAUGGACGGCCAGGGACGAUUAGAGCCGGGGGGAUUGUGAACCCUUGAUCAUGGAUUCAAUGGUCACGAUCUUCCAUCGACUUAUAACGUUCGUAUCGGAUCUGGGCAGUUGGGGCAUGAUCCAACGGCUGCGGUUGGGUUCGCGCAGGGUAGUGUCUAAUCCUGUGCGCACGCCUUAGAUCGGACGGCCAGUAUUUGUCCAUACCCCUUCGCGGGUCAAGUUUGCUAAACAGCCCCCAGAUUUAUACUUAAAUAACCUGCCAUCCGCGUAGACGGUUCCCUGUGCCUUAGAAAUCUUACUCUUAGACCCCUGUACUUUGCAGAAAAUUGAGGCCCAGUCCAGAGCGUUGAAAAUCAAAGAAGGAUUAAUUAGAAAUUGCUUUUUAAUACAAAAAUAAGUGCUAAAUCUUCAAUAAUUCAUAGAAAAUUCAUAUGAGCUCCAAAUCACUCCAUUCCAGUUCCUAAAAUUUUGUAAUUUUAUUAUCUAUCACUUAGAGUCUCUGUUUUGUCAUGAAAACAAUAAGAAAAUUUAUUCCUCAUUUAAUUCCAUUUGAAACACAUAAAACCUAUGAAAAUUCAUAACUUAAAAUCUAUAACUCCAAAAAUUAUGAUUCCUUUUCCUAGGAUUUUAUUUUAAUGUGUAGAUUAUUACUGUGUAUUUUGUGUAUAUGUUUGGUGUGAUGUUAAUUUUAUCUAUACCAUGUUUGUUUGUAUUGCUACGACUAGCGCGAGGACACGUGUCAUUUGAAAAGCAAGUUGGUACCUGGAAUCUCAAGUGCCAGGCAAGUUGUGCCCUUGAUCACUUCUUUUACCCACUCAUGUUUUAAUUAAUCAUAAUGAUCUGCAUAGGUUAAUUUUGAUGGGACCUAAUAGGUUACCCUAGUUUGUCUAUCUUUAUGCCUUGUUUACCACUGAACUUUUUGGGUAGUACUGGCUAGUGCUAUAUGUGGUUUUGGGCAUUGAGAUACACAUUAUUCAUGAUUAUACUUUUGUUAUCCGUUGUUAUUUACUGUUCAUGUCAAGAUCAUUAAUGUUAAUUGGAACAUAGAGCCUAACUUGAGAAACACGUGCCACCAUAAGGGUUUAUGGACGCCCUUGGCUGAUUAAUUAGGAAAGCUAGUGGAGGACUACCUUGCCCGAAAGGGGCAAGGGCAGUAGGGGAGUGGUCAGUGUAGGGAGGUCCUUGGUUGAUUUUGCUGCGAUGGCGGUCAGGCAAGAACCCUGCAUUGGAGCUUCCUAUAAACUGUAGCGGGUUUUCUGAAGCUAGUGGAACUUUGUAAAGGCCUCGUAGUGUUACCCUGCCUCGCCUCCUCGGUAGAGGUGUAUGGGAAGUCGCGAUCCCUUGGCAGAUGGGUAACAUGACUUGUGGGUAAAGGGUACCACCUCUGCAGAGUGUAAAACUGGUAUACUAGCCGAGCUCACGGUCAUGAGCAGCUCAGGACUCUCUGAUGAUUAACUUAUGGAACUAAAUUCAAUUUGCCAUAUGCAUUGCAUCGCAGGUGAUGUGGUUACUUUUGUUCUACUACUUAAUUGGGUUGGUAUUUACUUAUACUUAGUAAUUGCUAAUAAAAUUUUGACCAACUUUAAAAGCAAUGCUCAGCUCUAACCAUCCUCUUUGGUAAGCCUUACACUUCACGUGAGCUCCCACCUUUGGCGAGUUCAUGCACAUUAUUCCCCACAACUUGUUGAGCGAUGAACGUAUGUGAGCUCACUCUUGCUGUCUCACACCCCCCCAUAGGUCAAGAAUAGGUACCGCAGGAUGAGGCGCAUGGAGGAUGCUGCGAUGAGUUCGUGAGAGAUCUAGGCCGUCGUCUCCCAGUCAACUCUGGGUUGCUGAACCGUUGUCUCCUUAUAAUGUAAUUAUCUAUUUAGUUUGUAUAGAACUCCUGUUAUGUAGUAAAGAUGUGACAUUCCAUCCUGUGCCAUGAAUCAUCAUAUGUGUGAGACUUGGUCCCAGCACACCUGGUGAUUAUGUUCGCGCCCGGGUCUUGGUGUCCCGAAACCCGGGUGUGACAACAAUCCUUCUGCUCACGCCUAAACCAGCUGAGCCAUCACCUUAGGCCCUCCCCUAAACCAGGGAGUCCCUGAUUAUCCCACUCACAAGGUAAUAAGGGUGAAAACCCUUCAUCAUACACAUUUUGAAAAGCAUUUUCUUUUGAAAACUCACACCUUUUCUCAAAUCAUUUGUAACAAAUAUAUCAAGGAUUGAUUGCGGCAAGCGGCUUGGGUGGCCAUAAUAACUUGUCUCAAAAUCAUAUCAUGCAUAAAAUAACAGGCUGAGGGCUGUGGUUGAAAAAUCAUAGGUAAUUUAUGCAUCAAAGGGAUCCAGUGAGCUUGCCGUGCUUAUCCGGCGAAGGGGGAAGGAGAGCUCGCGGAACUGGCUUCUGGCUCCAUCGCUUGGCGUAGACUUGCAGAUCUUGCCUCCACGAGACGGCACAAACGCUCCGAUAACUAUGCAACAUGAACAAGCAAGCAUACAAACCAGCAAGUAUACCAACAAAUAUUUAGUAUAGUGGUCAGAAUAGCGAUAUAUGGAUGGGUAGAGUCUUGAGUAGAAUCUGUGUCAUGUGGUGUUGUGAUAUUACUGGUGGUGGAGCGGAGGUGCUUACCAGGAGGGUGGACUGGAGGCGAAGCGACACUAUGCGUGUAGCCGGCAGAGCGGAGUAACUGAGUGGGUGGGGUGUUUGCCUUGGCUGAGGGUGUUGAGUGUGUGUGGAGAGGGAGAGGGUAGCUGGGUGUAUUUAUAGCUGAGUGUAUGUGGUGUAGCACAGUAAAGUUCACUGUUGGUGAGAAUAGUGACGAAUGAAUCGUCUGACUUAGUAUGAACAGGAGAGUUGUAGGCAGAAUACGUGACAAUAGUAUUUUGGGAGUUUUCUAGAAUAUGAACCAUGCUUAAGGGAUGACAUGGUUGGAUAGGGAAUAAUUUGAUAAGAAUUUAGAAACAAGAAUUAUUGGAAUCGGAGUUUGGAAGUCUGGUUCGAAGGAAUCUCAAAGUUAAGCGUGCUCAACUUGGAGAAAUCUGGGACGGGUGACCAGAUGGGAAGUUCCCACUGGAAGGAAAAUCACAGUCACCGGAGUUCGUAUGACUGAAAUAUUGGUCUAGCUGGUCUUAGGUGGACUGGACAGCAUGACGGAUGAGUAGUUGAAAUUUGGGGUGAUCGGAUGAUCGAUGAAUAGUAACGAUGAAUAGUGACGACGAAAAGGGUGCCAUAGAUAUCAUCGACGAAUAGUAACGAUGAUGAAUAGAAACGGUGAAUAGUAACAAUGAAUAGUAAUGGUGAAUAGUGAUGGUGAAUAGUCUGUAUGAACGAAUGAUGAACGAUGAAUAGUGACGAUGAACAGAUGAUGAACAAUGAAUAGGAACUAUGAACGAAUGGACGAACGAUCGAAUGAUCAGACGAACGAACGAUCGGAAUUUCGGCAGCAUAACGGCAGGACAAAGAUUAUCUAGAAGAACGACGAAUAGGGACUAUGAACGAACGAUGAACGAUGAAUAGGAACUAUGAACGAACGAUGAACGAUCGAAUGAUCGAACGAACGAACGAUCGGAAUUUCAGCAGCAUAACGACAGGGAAAAGAUUAUUUGGACGAACGAACGGACGAACGAUCGAAUGAUCGGACAAACAGACGAACGAACCAUGAACGAUCGGACGAACGAUCGAACGAACAAACGAACGAACGAACAAAUUAUGAACAGGGGGACGAACGAUUGAACGAUCCUUGUGCUAGUGUGUGCUUGUGUGGAACAUGGAGUGGGUGUGUGGGGGGGAAGAGAGUUGCCAUGAAAUGGCUUGGGGUGGGAUGAGAGGAGGCCCUUGCCCCUCUAUUUAUAGCCAUGGUGGGGGAUUAGGGGGAGGGAUGAGAGGAUUAGUGGGAGGAUGAGAGGAUUAGUGGGAGAUUAGCAUGGAUUUGUCUUAUAUGAGUGUAAUUAGCUUGUAGAGCUCAACGUAUGACACCGGAGGCAUGAAAGUUCCCUAUGCCCGGGAACAGGAUCUCGAUGUCGCCUAGAGGGGGGUGAAUAGGCGAAUAAUAAUUAUCACUUUAUAAAUGGAAAUUCUUACUCUACUCGAAGGCUGGAUCGCAGUGGAAUGAAGAACCCUUUGAGUAGGUUGCAGCGGAAUUGAAGUUCCUAUCUUAAAAUACCCUGCACUUCGAAGACAGCUUGUACCACAUAUAAAUAUUGAAGUGCAAGUAUAAACAACAAAUAAGAUAGAGAAACAGCACACAGCACAGAGCAGAGCACACAGACACAGGGAUUUAUCCCGAGGAUCGGCCAAGCCUGAAAUGCUUGCCUGGUCCUCGUUGGAGUUAGCCACACCUUGGCUUGGAGUCUAUUUCAACUCCUUCCUCCGUUUGCUCAGAUCUGUCAGUGCGACAGAUAGAGCCUUCCACUAUAUUGAUAUCAAUUACAACGAUGCCGUAGAUGCUUACAAUCUUCUCGACAGCACUCCGGUAGAGUAACAAUGCGCUCAAGAUAUUGCUCUAGCUCUCAGCAGCACUUCCCCUCUCUCUAAAGGCUUAUAACUUUGCCUCUACACAAACUAGAGAGAUACACAAGAGAGGGAGAGAGAGAAUUGAUCCAAAAGAUGUAUGGACUUGUUGGCUGCUCUUCUGUUCUUGUUUGAGGCGCCUAGGGGUCCCUUUUAUAGCCCCAAAUGGCCUAGGAGCCGUUGGAGCUUCAUUUGGAAGCUCCCAGCCUUCCCUGGUUGCGGGUGCACCGGACUGUCCGGUGGCGCACCAGACAGUGAAUAGUAACGGAUCUGAUUGGCAGUUUCCUUCUCUGGAACAGCUAGCCGUUGGUGCACCGGACAGGUUACUAUUCACCGUCCUGUGCACCGGACACAGUUACGAUUCACCGUCCUGUGCACCGGACACAGCUACUAUUCACUGUCCUGUGUACCGGACGUAGCUACUAUUCACUGUCCUGUGCACCGGACACAGUUACUAUUCAUUGUCCUGUGCACCGGACAGGUCACUAUUCAUUGUCCUGUGCACCGGAUAGUUACUAUUCAUUGUCUUGUGCACCAGCCAACAACACACUAAGUGAUUUUUCCUCCGUUCUUUCUCCGUUUGACUUCAACUUUUGGGAGGAUUUUCCUGAGACUUAAACAAACACAUUUAGAGUAUAAUCCAAUUGAUUUAGUCCUAGAAACUUACAUCUUUCUUGUUCUUCUCCUAGCUUUUCUGUUUCUCCUCCAGCAGAGCUCAGAAUGGUACUUUCUCUACAGAAAGAGUUAGAGAGCAAACCAAAGCACCAAAUUUGUAGUAAGAGGUGUAUGCAACAUGGUUGAACACUCAAACCUUACAUACUUAACCUUUUUCAUCAUUUUACUCAAUUUGGCAUGUUUGAGGUCGAAGUUGGACUCUAAACCAUUAAGUCAACUUGACUUGAUCUAGAUUGACAUAUCUGAGCUCCAACUCCCUUGUUCAUUUCUCGAGCUUGAUCUUGAGCCUUAUGACUUACACCACAUAACUGUAGAUGUUACCUCAUUGGUUGUAAGUCAUGUCCUUAUGUAGUGAUCCUUGAUGCACCAUAACUCUUAACUCGAUCAACCUUGACUUUGCAAGUCUUCUUCUUCACCCCUGGCUUUGGGUUCCUGGUCUCCUUGACCUUCUCCCGUGCACUCGGUACCUCGAAGCUCUUCUUGCCUCCAUCCUUGGCUUGAUCGGUUGUCUCUGAGUUACGCACACCGAGUCUCACUUAAGCAGUGUUCAUUAUCUAUAGAUAAAUCAGUCUUUGCACCAUCACACUUGUUCACUUGUGUUGAACCCUGUUAGCUUUGCAUUAAGCACAUGUUCAACACUUAGCACACUUGUUAGUCAUUUAAUUGGGUUGUCAUCCAAACACCAAAACCCACAAGAGAGCUUUCAAUCUCCCCCUUUUUGGUGAUUGAUGGCAACACAAUUAAAGCUUACACAAGAAUAAGAUUUAAAGCACAAAUUUUGAAUUCUAAGUUUAUAGAAUGCUCCCCCUAAAUAUGUGCUUACAUUAAAAUCUUAACUUUGGCCUUAUAUGCCAAAUUGCACAUACUUAGGCUAAUUCGAAGCAUUACUACACCUUAGCACCCGUGGGAUGCAUUGUGUCAAGAAUUAAACUGUGAUGCAUAUAACACACAAAUGCACAUAAUAAGAGUUAAACACCAAUUAAAUGGAUAUACCAUAGGAAUAUCAACCUACCACUAUUCACCAUUAAGAUACCAAUUUAAAGCACCAGAACCAUAUGAAUAUCUAUUACAGUACAGACACAAUAGAUACCAAUUGAUUCAUAUCAACGGAAGUACUAAUUAUGCAUUAUCACCAUAUAAUACAACAAUAAGCAUAUGAUAAGUAUUAUCAACAAAACUAACACAUUCUUCCUUAAGAUCAAAGGAACUCAAGGAAACCCCUUUGGGUCCUUUAGCACACAAAAAAUUAAUCUUCACCCUCUUCACACUUAAGAUAAGCUUUCCUCUCAGGUCGAGGUGAGCUUUAAUGCACAAAUUCCCCCCCUUUGACAUCAAACACCCAAACCAUAUUCAAGCAAGAACAUAGGAUGAUGUCAAGAGACAGUAGGGUAUUAAGCAGGUAAAAUGCAACACACUAACAUUACUCCCCCUUACACAUUAAACAUAUACAACACAAGCAUUGGAGGAAAAUUAAGAUACAAAUACGCAAAAGGUCAAUACCUCCCGUUGUACAUUUACCAUGUUAUGGUGUACUUUCCAUCUAAGUAGGCGGAGUUCCUUUUGCCAUCAAUUUAAGAUUUCCAUCUUGAAAGUUUUAUCUCUAGGGAGCUCCUUCACACUUGUGCCUGAUCAUUUAUCCUGACCUUUUCUUGUUGCUAAGACACCAAACUUAGAACAAGUUAUAGUAUUGUGGCACAAGAUGAAGCUUCUAUUCUAGUGAUUACCAAGAGAUACCAAUUGAAGCACACUACCAAGGCUACUAAUUGAAAGAUCAUCACUGUCAUAGCUCCAUGAUAUUUAAAGAUAACCAUCUAGGAUCACCAACUAUUAUAGAGCAUGAGAAAUCUUUAAAUACACAAUUACUCACAACUUUAGAUACCGAUUACUUGACUUGUGGAGGUACCGAAGUCCUGAUUGUUCCAUUUCUUGCUCAUCUUCCCUUUUCCACCUUGAGACUAUAUAGGAUCACUCAAAAAACAGUUAGUCUCAAAAGACACAAGUUAUGUGUGCUCCCCCUAAAGUUGUGCAUCAAGUAUUUGAAUGACUUGCACCUUGCACAUUCUAGCAUCCUCAGAACUAAAGGGGAUCACAACAUACCUUGGUCUAGGCAUAAUAUAUCAAUUACAUCACAAAAAGAUACCAAUUGAAUAGAUGAGAUAAUACAACUUAUGACUAGUGGAAACAAUACAUGCCUCAUGAUAUAUAACAUUUAAAAACACCUAGGCACACUUCACACAUGAUGAUCAUUGCAACACAUAUACAAAUUGAAAAACGACAAGAUCAUGCAUAUAAAGCACAAUGUCUAAGCACACCAUGAUUAAGAAGUAUUUUCUUAGGUACACCAAAGGAAACAACAUUUUAAAGCAUAAAGCACCUAAGCCAAGAUACUACCAAUUGAAAGGCAAGAACAUAGCUAUGAUCACAAUCAACGGAACUUCAAGAUAUUCAAUGAAAUUGCAUAGUUCCAUUCUCCAUACCUUUGCCUUUUACCUGAAUGGCAUGAGAUUCAUUCUUUUAGGUAGUGUGUAGUGAGAGCACCUGUUGUCACCAAUUUAGGGCUCCUUUUGCUCAUGCACCUCAUAGCUCGAGAGGGUGCAUUAGAGACACAACAUGGAUUUCUUGUUUUGGUAUACACAGAGUACCAAGACAAAGUAAUCAUGUGAACAUGGACUAAACAAAACUAUCAUGCUUGCACAUAGGUUAAUCAUUAAAAACCACAUAGCAUGACUUACAAAAAGAUACAUGUUUAUCCACAUACACCAAGAGAGUUAAUCAUGGUGGAUAUAUCAAAUGAAAAGCUACCCAUUAAAUGAUUCAAGAGAUAUAACCUAUAAAGCACACAGUCACAAUUAAGAAAGCAUGAUUAUGAUCUUGGAAAUCAUGGAUCAUUAAUUGAAAGAUAUUCAACACAAGCAAUCUCAAAAACAUAACUACUCCAAGGAUAGGUAUAGCACGACAAUCCAACUUAAAAGCAAUGAUGAUUAGAAAUAAUGCACUUAAGAUACACGGGUACCGUCCUUUGGAGAGCAAGUUGCAGAUUCUCAUCAAAGUCCUUUGCUUGAUUCACCAAUAAUGAUUAAGGGCCUCUACAACUUAUUUAACUCGAGAUGAACAUGGGAUUAGUAUUGCACAAUAAUUCAACCUUGGGUCAAUAAAUAGACAAUAAAAUUGACAGCUUAAGAAUAGAGUUUGAAUUAACCAUCUUAAGCUCUCCCAGGGUCUCCAGUCCAUCUCGAGGCACCUGCAUGGUCUAGUUGGCACGGUUUGGUACCCAUCUCGAGAUGGGUCCAUAACGUUCAUCUAAAAGGGCCUUUGGUACCCAAAUAGCAGUUGUGCUAGUUCUAGGUGAUCUCAUUACUGAUCUAGCACAAGUGUAUGAUUUGGGUCUCCUAAGCGAAUAAGAUCGAGAUAAAUUUACUUGUUUAGGAACCUUACCCUUCUUACAUACCUUAGGUAGAUGACCAUGCUCACCACACAUGUAGCAGAAGCGUCGCUCAACCUGACUUGACACUUGCUGUUUGUCUUUUUGCUUAGUGAGGGUCAUCUUGGAGGGUGCAUGUCUUUGAUUCUUCAUGAGCGGACAUGAAGUGAUCAUAUGGUCCUUAUCGUUGCAUCCAAAACAUCUCCUCAUUCCUUCAUCCUUGUCUUUGUGUGGACAAGACGCAAUGAAGUGACCUAAUUCCUUGCACUUGAAGCACCUCCUUUUUCCUCUUCCCUUUUUUGCUCUUGGAUGACAUAGAGAGAUGAUCAGUGCAAACAACAUGACUAAUUGACUUUUUACCUUUUUCCUUGUUCAUGUUGAUUUCUUCAUUUAUUGCUUUAGGAACAUCCUUCUUAUGGAGUUUAACACUUGCUGUGGUUUCUCCCGUCUCAAGCUUCUUCACCACGCGUCCGUGGAUAUCUUGAGGAGGUUGAGCAAUGCAUCUUCUCCUUAGUUGCUUUGCUUUCUUGUUCCUUUCUUUUGAUCCUGCAUCUUGAUGCUCAUUCAAAAAUUUGCUUUCUUUUGAGCAACAGGGGUUAGCACAUGGUGAUAUAUUAUCUAAAUGCGCACAUGUGCAAGAAUGAGGUUCACAUGAAUUUAAGUUUGCAGUUACAACCUCAUGAGCAACAUCAAGCAUGAUAUGGUCAUCAACUAAUUCAUUAUGAGAAUAAGAUAGCAUAUCAUAUUUUUCACUUAGAGCAAGUUUUUCUAAAUUUACAAGUUCUACUUGACUCUUAAGCAUAGAACUCUCAGUUUUAAGUUGAGCAACAUCACAUAAUACAUCAUUAUUAUUUCUUUGCUCAAAUAAAACAAAUUCAUACCGUUGGACCAAAUUAUCAUGAGAGCACUUUAGCUCCUCAUGUUCUUUGGUCAUCUUCUCCAGGCUGUCGUUGGUUUUGAUGAGAGUCUCCUCUAGCCUGAGAAGCAUCUCGCCUUGUUCCUCCUCAACAGCUCAACCAAGAGCACUUUGUCUUCUUUGUUGAGAUGGGUGUAGAACCGGCGAAUCUCCUCUUCUUCCACAUCACCGGUCUCAUUUUCCCUGUCAUUAUUAUUAGUGGAAGCAAUACAGGAAAAUGUACCUUGUGGUGAUGAAGACUCAUCCUCGCUAUCAUCCUUAUAUUCCUCCUCAUCAUCGCUUUCGUCUCCACUAUCAUUGUUAGCAAUAAGACAUUUAUAACUAGUGGAAGACAAACCUGUCGGUGAGGUGGAUUCAUCAUUUGGUUGCCAUCGUUUUUCUUCUCCCUUUGAAAGGUUAGUACCACAAGCAACAUAGGGAGUAGAAGUAGUACAAUUGGACUCAGAAUAUUUUAUUUUAAUUCUAGUCCAUAGAUCAUGAGCAUCAACAAAUAAAUCACUAUCACUACUCAUGAUGGCAAAAUAAGAACCUCUAGAAAGAGAGUCAACUAAGAUGUUGCAAGCAUGGUGAUUAAGAGAUGGACAUCUUAGUUCAGCAUUAGAAAGGUUUUUACUAAUAUUGAGGGAAAAAUACUUCUACUAAAGAUCUGCCUCAAAUCAGGAUCAAUAUGCAUGAAAGCAUUAUAAAUAGAGACAGACCAAGAUUUAUAAUUAGAACCAUCGCCUAAAAGAAGUUCUAGAGUUACCUCUUGUGACGACAUCGUCAUCUCCGGACGGCUAAGCCCACACUGGAGAGGCCUAGCUCUGAUACCAAUUGAAAGUUCCCUAUGCCCGGGAACAGGAUCUGGAUGUCGCCUAGAGGGGGGUGAAUAGGCGAAUAAUAAUUAUCACUUUAUAAAUAGAAAUUCUUACUCUACUCGAAGGCUGGAUCGCAGUGGAAUGAAGGACCCUUUGAGUAGGUUGCAGCGGAAUUGAAGUUCCUGUCUUAAAAUACCCUGCACUUCGAAGACAGCUUGUACCACAUAUAAAUAUUGAAGUGCGAGUAUAAACAACAAAUAAGACAGAGAAACAGCACACAACAUAGAGCAGAGCACACAGACACAGUGAUUUAUCUCGAGGUUCGGCCAAGCCUGAAAUGCUUGCCUAGUCCUCGUUGGAGUUAGUCACACCUUGGCUUGGAGUCUAUUUCAACUCCUUCCUCCGUUUGCUCAGAUUUGUCAGUGCGACAGAUAGAGCCUUCCACUAUAUUGAUAUCAAUUACAAUGAUGCCGUGGAUGCUUACAAUCUUCUCGACAACACUCCGGUAGAGUAACAAUGCGCUCAAGAUAUUGCUCUAGCUCUCAGCAGCACUUCCCCUCUCUCUAAAUGGCCUAGGAGCACUUCUGUUCUUGUUUGAGGCGCCUAGGGGUCCCUUUUAUAGCCCCAAAUGGCCUAGGAGCCGUUGGAGCUUCAUUUGGAAGCUCCCAGCCUUCCCUGGUUGCGGGUGCACCGGACUGUCCGGUGGCGCACCGAACAGUGAACAGUAACAGAUCUAAUUGUCAUUUUUCUUCUCUGGAACAGCUAGCCGUUGGUGCACCGGACAGGUUACUAUUCACUGUCCUGUGCACCGGACACAAUUACUAUUCACUGUCAUGUGCAUCGGACACAGCUACUAUUCACUGUCCUAUGCACCGGACGCAGCUACUAUUCACUGUCCUGUGCACCGGACACAGUUACUAUUCACUAUCCUGUGCACCGGAGACAGCUACUGUUCACUGUUAUGUGCACUGGACAGGUCACUAUUCACUGUUCUGUGCACCAGACAGCUACUAUUCAUUGUCUUGUGCACCAGCCAACAGCACACUAAGUGAUUUUUCCUCCGUUCUUUCUCCGUUUGACUUCUACUUUUGGGAGGAUUUUCUUGAGACUUAAACAAACACAUUUAGAGUAUAAUCCAAUUGAUUUAGUCCUAGAAACUUACAUCUUUCUUGUUCUUCUCCUAGCUUUUCUGUUUCUCCUCCAGCAUAGCUCAGAAUGGUACUUUCUCUACAGAAAGAGUUAGAGAGCAAACCAAAGCACCAAAUUUGUAGUAAGAGGUGUAUGCAACAUGGUUGAACACUCAAACCUUACAUACUUAACCUUUUUCAUCGUUUUACUCAAUUUGGCAUGUUUGAGGUCGAAGUUGGACUCUAAACCAUUAAGUCAACUUGACUUGAUCUAGAUUGACAUAUCUGAGCUCCAACUCCCUUGUUCAUUUCUCGAGCUUGAUCUUGAGCCUUAUGACUUACACCACAUAACUGUAGAUGUUACCUCAUUGGUUGUAAGUCAUGUCCUUAUGUAGUGAUCCUUGAUGCACCAUAACUCUUAACUCGAUCAACCUUGACUUUGCAAGUCUUCUUCUUCACCCCUGGCUUUGGGUUCCUAGUCUCCUUGACCUUCUCCCGUGCACUUAAUACCUCGAAGCUCUUCUUGCCUCCAUCCUUGGCUUGAUCGGUUGUCUCUGAGUUACGCACACCGAGUCUCACUUAAGUAGUGUUCAUUAUCUAUAGAUAAAUCAGUCUUUGGACCAUCACACUUGUUCACUUGUGUUGAACCCUGUUAGCUUUGCAUUAAGCACCUGUUCAACACUUAGCACACUUGUUAGUCAUUUAAUUGGGUUGUCAUCCAAACACCAAAACCCACAAGAGAGCUUUCAAGGCAUACGUAUAUGUGUGAGCAUGAGGAAAGUUAUGAAGAAAAUAUUUGUAGGGACUUGAAAUAUGAUUCUGAAGGUAUUCUCAAGAGGAAAAUAUCUGGAGAUAUAUCGGUGGAAUAUUUGGGCAGUAUUUCUGGAAAGAACUUGAAGGGGGUCACUAGGGAAAUAUCUGGGCAGAAUUUCUAGAAACAAUUUGAGGGGGGUCACUGGGGAAAUAUUUGUAGGAUAUUUUGAGGAGGAUUUUGGAGAGAAUAUAGACCACUAUAUUUUAUUUGUUGAUAUCAGCUUGCAAACAAACAUUUUGAAAUGAAAUUUGAAAUUCAUUUUGAAUUUAGAGCGAGUUUGAGAAAAUUCCAAGAUUUGAAUUUUUGGGAUGCUACACAGGGUCUAGUCUGGGAGGCCAAGUUGUGCGUCUGGACCCCCUAGAUAGUGGUUCUAGGUACUAGGACACCUGUCGCAGAGUGGUGGAGCGUGCAGGCCCACAGUACGGAACCAGACUGAGCGGCUACACGGGCUCCGGACCACCCCAGGAGACAAGUGUCCAUUCUCUAGUUCCGGACCCCAGGUUGCCGGACCCAUAGGACUUAUAGCUCCAAAUAGUAGGGUACCCGUCACGGAGUGUUGGAGUGUGCAAGCUUUCGGGUACGGGACCGGGCUAAGUGGCCACACAGGCUCCGGACCACCCCAUGGAACGGGCUCCCGUUCUUUAGAACUGCCCCCCAGGCUGUCGGGGCCUCCUGCUUUCGCAGAGAGGUCCUAAACUGCAAGCCUGGUUGUUCAAUUCGGAUGUUAUUAUGUCUGAUGGAAUAGGAACUGUUUGGGUGGGUUAGAUAAAACAACAUUCGGAAAACUGCAAGGUAAGACCAUGGAGCGGUAGGACAAAACUAUCAUAGAGGCACAUCUGAGGGGGUAAAUCUUUUCUUUAUAACUUGUCAUGCAUGGGUGCAGACCAACAUGCCGGGCUUAUGAGGGCGGACCUCACCGGGUCGGCGUACACGUAUGCGUUACCUAGUUACAAAAAGGGAGAAAAAUUCAACCCCUCAGACUUGCUCCUAUGGAUAGAACUUACAGAGAUGCACCAGUGGCCAGGAAGAGGUACUCCUUUAGUCAUAGCAAGAUAGUCACCCCCGGGUCGGCGUAUUCCCGUCACCUUGAAGGGUCCUUCCCAGCUGGGGGAGAGUUGCAGAGUCGUUCUUGGUUUGGUACUUGCCGUAGGACUAGGUCCCGACCCUGGGUUCCCAUCUGCGUUUGAUGAGGGAGUCCUCGUCCUCGUGUUGUAGCCAUUUCUGCAUGGACUUGUCAGAAGCCUGGACCCGUGGGGAGUCCAGAAGGGUUUCCGGGGGAAGGCAGGCUUCGGCCCCGUAGGCCGGGGAGCACGGGGUCCCUCUGGGGGUCCAUCUAGUUGUCCCCAAUGGAGUAGGAGCCUCCAGCAAAGACAUCCUUCAGGUCCCCCUCGGGUGACUGAUACCCGAGGUCCCGUUCAGCCACGGCCACCUCGCCGUCGUCGACCUUUUCUUUGCCAGGUCGGCGACGAGGUGGGGAGCCGUCCUUGGAAGACUGCUCGCGCCGCUCGCUGACGCGUUUCACGAGGUCAAUGAUCUCAUGACACUCUGCGGCGCUGUGGCGACCGUUGGGGUGCACAGGGCAUGAGCCGCUGUUACCCCUCUACGACCGUGGGCGUUUGUUGCGGUCGCCCCGGCCCCCGGUCGCGGGCUCGCGGCUGCAACGACUAGAGCGGUGGACCAUGGCUUAUGGUAGUCGCGAUCCUUCUUCUUUUUCUUCUUACCGUCCCGGGGGACGGCACCCGAGCCACCCGACUGGGCAGCCCCGGUUUGUGGGGUCGAGUGCCAUGCACGACCCUCGGCGGCUCUGGCGCAUUUGUCGGCUAGAGCGAAGAGUGUGGGGAUAGUCUCCACGUCAUGCGUGGCCAACGUCUCCAACAUUUUCUCAUCACGUACUCUCUGGUGGAAGGCCGUGAUGAUGGAAGCAUCGGAAAUGCGAGGUAUAGUACCUCGCACCUUGGUGAAGCGGGAGAUGAACGUCCGGAGAGUCUCCCCGGGCUCCUGCUUUACCGCGUGGAGGUGGGCCUCCACACCGUGCUGCUGGUAAGCGCUGGCGAAGUUCGCAACGAACCGCGCGCAGAGCUCUUCCUAGGAGUAGAUUGAUCCUGGGGCGAGGUUCAUGAGCCAAGUCCGGGCAGGUCCAGACAAGGCGACAUAAAAAUAUGUCGCUAUCACAGCGGUGUUUCCACCUGCUGUUGUGAUAGCGGUGACGUACACCUGCAGGAAUUCCGACGGGUUUGACGUUCUGUCGUACUUUUCCGGCAGGUGCGACCAGAACUUGGGUGGCCAUGAUGCCACGCGGAGAUGAUCCGCGAGAGCGACACAGCCCACACCGGCCAAGGGGACACCCGCUUGGGACCGGGUGCCCAUUGAGGCCUGCGGUGCUACCGCAGCGAAGUCUUGAUCGAGGUUGUGACCCUCGAUGUUUUGUCGGCGCUCGCGCGCCCUCUCUAAAGAGACCCGGGUGUCCUCUCCCGCACGCCUACGGUUGAGCUCUGCCCGGAGGUCGUUGGCCUGUGUGCCCCUCACUGAGGGUGAGCGCACAGAUGCUGACGCCUCAUGUUGGUGCCGGGAUGACCGUGGCCUCGACCUGGUCGAGGUAGAAUGUGCAAUGCUGAGUAGCCGGUCGACGUCGUCCCUCCGCUGCUUCAUGGCCCAGGGUGACGCAGUAACUCCCUGGCUGCUGACAAUGCUCCCGGAGCCGCUCUCGAUGAAGUCCGGGAUGUCUGCGCAGUUGUAUGCUGCCGUGCAGCGUGCACAACAGCAGUGCCCGGCACUGGGCGGUUGGGAACCUAUGGCGUGGAAGAAACAACUUCUUCCUCCACCAGAAAAUCCGUUGAAGUCUCGGCACGGUGCUCCACGAUUUGCACCAUCAUGCUGAGCGAGGAAACAAGCAAAAACCUAAUGCCUAAGCCCCUACCUGGCACGCCAAAUGUCGGAGAGGGAAUUCUCCGGCCGGGUAGCGGAAUGCACCCGUCCUAAAUCUUAAGAUGAGGAAGGGGCUUAAGCGUUUUGCCUGUCUUGCUAAGCGAUCACCGAGCACACGAACACGCGAGGAUUUAGAGUGGUUCGGGCCGCUGAAGCGUAAUACCCUACUCCACUGUGUUGGAUUGUUGUGGAAGCUUGAGAGCUGAGAGUCUGGUUUUGGUUUUCUUCUUGUAGCGUUGCAUGCCUCCCCUUUUAUAACUAAGGGGGCACGUACAAGGGUACUGAGCCCCGACAUGUGGGCCAAGAAACAUAACGGAUGUAGUACUUGGAGCUACCAAUGCUCGCUGCUGGAGGAAUCUUCUUGCGCCCUGACAUCUGAGAUCUGCGUAGAAUCGGUGUGCAGGGGAAGCUUUUUGCACAAGCAAUGAUGGACACAAUGCGCCGCGCAGCACGGGCGCGCUGUUUGACAAUGGACUGGUCAGGCGCGCCGUCUAAAGGAUGGCCCUGGCGCCACCUGCCAGCGGAGUGAAUAGGACGCGUUAAAUGCCGAGAGGGCACAUCGCCUGUCAGCAGGGUGGACAGGCGGUGCGUCCUUUCCACAAUAAAUGUAGAGACCGCGCGACUUAGAGGCCUUACAUCAGGCUCCACCCGCUGGUUCACGUCAUGGGCAACAAGCCAUGUGGCAGCAGCGGGUCUCUGCCUGAGCGGGGAGCGCCAACGCACAGGAUAAACCCUGAACACGUGUCAGUACCGGACCCUGGCUUAAGCCAGGGUAUCCCCUGUCCUGGGACCUCGUUAUGAGUGGACCAAACCUUAUUCGGAGGGACUCGGACCCCAUCCAAGGGACCCGGCAAGCUACUUGGGAGUUCUGUACCGUACUCGGGGGUCUGGGUCGUGCGUACAGGGGUCCGACGCUUCCUCGUGGAGGUCCGGUCCAACUGACUGCAUCCCGGGAUAUACCAUCUUUUCUAGCCACGUGGUGCCCCUUGAGCCGUCCACGUGGUGGGUCAUGUGCUGUUCACCGCGCUGCUAGAUAUCGCCGCACGGGCACCGCGUCUUCAUACUGUAGUAAAGGGUACCCUUGAUUUAGGAUACCGAAAUAGCCAAUUCCUCAAACCAAACACCUUAUAUUUUUUGUGAAACAUGAUGUUAGGAUAGAUUGAGCUAUGUCCUUUGAGAGAGGGAUUGAAGCCAAUUGUACAUGUACAAUAUGCAAAGGGAUUCACGCAUAUCUCUAACACAAAAAAAAGCUCCUAGGAACAACUUAUGGUAAGCUUUCAUAUGUGGCUUGGUGAAAAAAUUGGAAAAUAAGGGCAUGUUUGGUUUUGUUGCCUAACUUGCCACACUUUGUCUAACUUUUCUGCCUAAGGUUAGUUUUUCAAUUCGGAUAACUAACCUUAGGCAAAGUGUGGCACAGUUAGCUACGAACCAAACAGACCCUAGGAAUUUGUUUGUUUCUCAUGACUAAAGUUUAGUUUGUGUCACACUGAAUACUUUAAUGUCAAUUACGAGUAUUAAUGGGGUGUUUAAAUGUACUAGAGCUAAUAGUUAGUUGCUAAAAUUAGCUGGAGACAUUCAAACAGUCUAGCUAAUAGUUUAACUAUUAGCAAAUUAGCUAAUACUCCAUUCGUUCAUAAAUAUAUGACACCAUUGACUUUAAAAAAAACUUUGACCACUUGUCUUAUUCAAAAAAAAUAAUGAGUUAUCAUUUAUUUUUUGUGAUUUGUUUUAUCACUUAAGGUAAUUUGCGCUUGACUUAAAAUUUUACAUUUUUGAAUAAGACGAGGGGUCAAAGUUUUCAAAAAAAAUCAAUGACGUCAUAUAUUUGUGAACGGAGGUAGUAGUUAACUAGCUAUUUGUUAGUUAGAUAAUUCCAUCAGUAAUUUUUUAGCCAACUAAACUAUUAGCUCUAGUGUAUUCGAACACCUCCCUAAAUAUAGUCAAAUUACAAAACCAAUUACAUAUAUGAAGACUAAAUUUCGAGAUAAAUUUAUUAAACUUAAUUAAUCUAUGAUUAGUAAAUGUUUACAAUAGCAUCAUAUGAACGAAUUAUAGACUAAUUAGGUUUAAUAGACUCAUGUACGUUAGGUUUAAUCAUAUGCAGAUAGUCAAGCUCCCACAAGCUCAGCGUAUGAGAGAGAAUCGUGUUUUGUUAGGUGUAUAAUAUAGGUUUAUACAAACUAGAUGCAGAUGUUGUUUAGUUGCAUGUGUUAGAACAAGGCAGAUAAAAUAAUAAAUAAAAUCCUUCAAAUUUAAAUAGCAAGUGGGCUCUAGUUUUGUUCAUAAAAAUGUCAAGGUCAUAAAAAUUAAAAUCGGUAUAUUAAUAAUAUGCAUUAAUCAAGAGAUGUAAAAAAACAAAUAAAUUUUUUGUUUCGUUUUCUGUGCCUGCAUCCACUUAGCCUGACUCUGCAGAGAUAUCUAAAUCAUGCAAUCCGGCUCAGCCUGGCUCUAGAUGCUUUAAAGUUCGCGUGCGCUUGUAAUAGGGUGUUUGGUUUGAAAAAUGAGCUAGUCCAUCAACUUUUCACUCCUCACUUUUUGUUUGAUUUGUGAAAUAAAAUGAAUUGACUCAUCACCAUCUCAUUCCUCAUAGUUGUUUAGUUAAUACUAAUAUGAGGAAUGAGAUCAUCCCACCAAAUUUAAGGAAUGGACCCAUGAUGCACCACAUCAUUUUGGAUAGAGUGAUUCCUCAAACCAAACACCCCCUAAUUAUGCAUGCAAGCAAUCAAACAAGUGUGCUUAGGUCUACGGUGCAACUUCUCCAUGAAUACAUGCAAACACGUUUAGCUUUUUAAUUAGACUAUAUUUAACACUUAUAUAAGGUUAUCCCCAUCAACUUACCCAUCCUAUCUUUCAUCUCAUCCCUUAUUUCAAACUUCACUUUAUGAAUAGUGCAGUCUACUAUGCAAACAGUGCUUUGCACGACUAUAUACACGAUCUGAUAGAGAUUGUCUCUUGGAUCCAAAUGAGCCCUAAAGCUCUGAAGACACAUAUCAAAGAGCAUGGCGUCACACAACACUUAAGCCUGAUUAUAAUAUGCGUCAACUCCAAUAUGCUUCGUGAGCUCAUGGUUCAUCAAAUCAAGAGUUAUACUAAUAACAUUGGUGUCGGCGUUUCGAGACCGGGGGGUCCCUGAGCCGACGAGUGAAGUGUCGCUGCGUGCCCCAACCCAGAUGGGUCGACGCGAGGCCGAGCGCGAAGGGGGGAAGUGAGGAGGCCGGAGAUGGGCGUGAGAGAGGUGGAAAUCCCGCGGCCUUCGUGUUCGUCCCGCGCCCAGGUCAGGUGCGCUUGCAGUAGGGGGUUACAAGCGUCCACACGGGGGAAGGAGCGAGCGGCCUCACGCGAGCGCCCGUAUCGUCCUUGUCCCCGCGUGGCCAACCUUCUCUAAGAGGGCCCUGGUCCUUCCUUUUAUAGGCGUAAGGAGAGGGUCCAGGUGUACAAUGGGGGUGUAGCAGAGUGCUACGUGUCUAGCGGAGGAGAGCUAGUGCCCUAAGUACACGCCAUUGUGGCGGCCGGAGAGAUUUUGGCGCCCGGUUUGUGUGAUGUCGUGGCCGUCGGAGGAGCGCUGGAUCCUGGCGGAGGGACAGCUGUCGGGGCCGUCGAGUCCUUGCUGACGUCCUCUUGCUUUCGUAAGGGGGCCGAGAGCCGCCAUCGUCAGGGAACGUGCGGGGCGCCAUCAUCGCCUAUCUAGCGGAGCGAGCCAGAUGGGACGCCGGUCUUGUUCCCCGUAGCCUGAGUCAGCUUGGAGUAGGGUAAUGAUGGCGCCUCCUGUUGACGUGGCCGGUCCACGCCCUAGGUUGGGCGAUGUGGAGGUUCCUCCGAGGUCGAGGUCGAGUCCGUCUUCCGUGGCCGAGGCCGAGUCCGAGCCUCUAGGUCGGGCGAGGCGGAGGUCGUUGGCUGAGGCCAGGGCGGAAUUUGAGUCCUGGGGUCGGGCGAAGCGGAGUUCGUCGUCUUCUGGGGCUGAGCCCAAGUCCGAGCCCUGGGUCGGGCGGAGCGGAGUUCGUCGUCUUCCGGGGCUUUGCCCGAGUCCGAGCCCUGGGUCGGGCGGAGCGGAGUUCGCCGUCUUCCGAGGCUUAGCCCAAGUCCGAGCCCUGGGUCGGGCGGAGCGGAGUUCACCAUCUUCCAGGGCUUUGCCCGAGUCCGAGCCCUGGGUCGGGCGGAGCGGAGUUUGCCGUCUUCCGGGGCUUAGCCCGAGUCCGAGCCCUGGGUCGGGCGGAGCGGAGUUCGCCGUCUUCCGGGGCUUAGCCCAAGUCCGAGCCCUGGGUCGGGCGGAGCGGAGCUUCCUAUGGUGCGUGCGGCCGGGCCUGACUGCCUGUCAGCCUCACUCUGUCAAGUGGCACCGCAGUCGGAGCGGCGCGGGCGGCGCUGUCUUUCUGUCAGACCGGUCAGUGGAGAGCCGAAGUGACGGCGGUCACUUCGGCUCUGUCAGCUGAGGGGCGCGCGUCAGGAUAAAGGUGUCAGGCCACCUUUGCAUUAAAUGCUCCUGCGAUUUGGUCGGGGUUGCUUCUCGGCGAAGACAGGGCCUCGGGCGAACCGGGAGCGUGUUCGCCGCUGGAGGGGGGCCUCGGGCGAGGCGGAGAUCCUCCGGGGUCGGCUGCCCUUGUCCGAGGCUAGGCUCGGGCGAGGCGUGAUCGAGUCCCUCGGAUGGACUGAUCCCUGACUUGAUCGCACCCAUCAGGCCUUUGCAGCUUUAUGCUGAUGGGGGUUACCAGCUGAGAAUUAGGAGCCUUGAGGGUACCCCUAAUUAUGGUCCCCGACAGUAGCCCCCGAGCCUCGAAGGGAGUGUUAGCACUCGCUUGGAGGCUUUCGUCGCACUUUUUUGCAAGGGGACCAGCCUUUCUCGGUUGCGUUUUGUUCCGGUGGGUGCGCGCGAGCGCACCCGCCGGGUGUAGCCCCCGAGGCCUCGGAGGAGUGGUUUGACUCCUCCGAGGUCUUAACGCCUUGCGCAAUGCUUCAGCUGGUCUGGUCGUUCCCUCAUGCGAGUUGGCCGUAGCCCGGGUGUACGGUCGGGUCCCAAGUUCUCGGGCUGGUAUGUUGACGCUGUCAACGGUUUGGCCGGAGCCGGGUUUGCGAGAGCAGCCCUCGAGCCUCUGCACAGGGCGAGAGGGCGAUCAGGGACAAACUCGACUUUUUUACAUACGCCCCUGCGUCGCCUUUCCGCAAGGAGGAGGGGGGAGAGCGCCAUGUUGCCAUCGGUGGGCGCCGAACAUGGUGUCUCCGGUGAGCUGCAGGCGGGUGAUCCGAGUGGACGUCCGUGCCCCAUUCGUUAGGGGUCGGCUAGGGGCCCAGAGGCGCGCCCAAAAGUACCUGCGGGUGAUCUGCCGGACCCGGUCCCCUAGCGACGGGUCCGAGGGCUUGAUGCCUCCCUCUGAUGGGAUUCCGUUACAAGAUCGUUCCCGCUGGUCUCGGAAAUGUCCUAGGGUACCUCGGGAGCGCAGCUCGAGCCUUGGUUAUGUAUCGAACGUACCCAUGGUCAUCCCUCGCUCUGUGUCUGAGGCGGCUGUGAACCCUUCGGGGGCCAUCCUUCGAACCCCUAAUCAGUAGUGGGCGCGGAGCCCGAGUAGCCUGAGGCGGCCGUUGAACCCUUCCGAGGGGCCGGCCUUUGAACCUCUGACCAAUAGUGGGUGUGGAGCCCACGUGCUCUGAGGCGGUUGUUGAACCCUUCCGAGGGGCCAGCCUUCGAACCUCUGAUCAGUAGGGAGGCUCGGAGCCUGGUUCCUUCACAGGGAAGGAUCCCUUUCGGGGUAUCCCCCUUUCCCGGUCCCUGUUGCAAGAGAGAGAAAGAGGAAAAAAGGAAAAGGAUACGAAAUCGAACAACAUGGCGUACCUUUUUUGACGCGGUCAUUAUGGCGAAGGCGAAGCGUCGCUCGUUUCUCCUGCCAGAGGCGCCGCCUGUCCCGCCGCGGAGUUAAUGCGACGGGGCGAGUGGUUCGCGGGGCAGCCGUUCGAGGAACGGCUGUUUCGCUUCGUGUUUUUGAAUCCCGCGGCCGGUCCGGGCGGAACGUUGAACCGGUCUCGCCUUGGCCUUUAUAUACUCGGGGGAGGGUCUGGCGAUGGUUCUUUGCUCCGCUUCCUGCUUCCCUCUUAGGUUUUCGCAACCCGAGAGACCUAGCCAGAGAAAAGGAAAUUGCCCAUCCUGUCCUUUGCGCCGCCACCCCUUCUGCUCGGUGAUGGCCGACCGGGUGACCAUCAUCUCGCCGCGCGACCCAUGGCCUUUCUCCACAGUGACGGUGGGCGAUCUGGAGGAUCUUGUUGCUGAGGGUUUACUUCGCCCUCUCUCUGAUGAGAGGCGGCCGGAAUGGAUUCCCCCCGCGAGCGGAGCCGCUCUGUCCCCACCGCCGGGGUACAUCGUGAGCUUCGUCUCCUUCCACGAGCGGGGAUUUGGUGUGCCGGCGAGCCGCUUUAUGCGGGCGAUCCUGCACCACUACGGGGUGGAGUUGCACAACCUCAGCCCCAACUCCAUCUCGUAGGCCGCCAUCUUCGUAGCGGUUUGCGAGGGGUACUUGGGGAUCGCCCCCCACUGGGACUUGUGGACUCAUCUCUUUUUCGCGGAGCUUUUCGCUUCGCCGACGGGGGAGAGAAAGGUCCGCGUGGCGGUGCGGGCCUGCGGCUGCAUCCUUCAGCUGAGGCAGUCGCGGGCCUCGCUGUACAUCCCUGCCACCCUUGCGUCCUCGAACAAAGGGUGGCAGCGCCGGUGGUUCUACCUCCGGAAUGACAGCGAGUUGCUCCCGCCGUUUUCCCAGCGAGUAGUUACCGUCGCGGCCGAUGCUUGGCGCCACGGGGCCCCGCACGAAAGACAGAAGAACCUCGAACCCCUCCUCAAGGCUUUGGAGGCGUUGCGGAAAGGGGGACUCACCGCCGCGGGAGUGAUUGCCGCCAUCCACCGCCGGAGGGUGCUUCCCUUGGCGGAGCGACGAUUGCCGCUCUGGGAGAUGACACCGGAGGCUGACUUGGAAGGCUCGCGGAUGUCCUCGGAUCCUCUUCCCUUCGAUGUUCUCCACGGGCGGGUGGCCGUCGCGCUGGGGAAACCGGACCCCAGCGCCUUCUCCCAGCCUUUGAUGCGCCCUGACCAAGGGUGCGUGACUCUGGUGAGUGUCCGCUCCUUCCUCCCUCUUGCAUCGGGUUGUCCCUGGUUCUUACGGUCGGGAUUUCCAUCCGUCCUCAGGAGGUGGGGCGGCACAAGCCUUCCCUGCCACGGGUACCGCAGGAUGCGGUGGACCGAGCAGCGCGGCGGGUUGCCGCGGAGGAGAAGAAGAAAAAGAAGGACGCGGAGAAGACCCGAGCCCGCGAGCGGAUGCGGGCUCGGGACGCCUUGGAAAAGCUCCGUCGUCGGCAGGAGAGGGAGGGGCUCCCGAGGGAGCCGUCGCCGGAAACGCCUGAUGACGACGAUGAUGAUGAAGAUGAUGAUGAGGAAGACGACAUGGCUGCCCGCCUUGGCUUCAGCCCUGGCUUGUGGUUAGGCCAGAAGCCGUCAAGCCAGCCCCCGAGUGGGCUGAUGCAGUCAGUCCUCGGAGUCGGACGCCGAGGUCCCGGCCCGAGGAGCGGGGGCAGACCGAGAGGGUACCUGACCCCUCGGCUGGGGGAGUUGAGGCGACCCCCGGGGAGCCAGGCCGAGGCAGCUGUUCCCCGAGAGCCGUCGCCCACGCCGGCAACGCAGGAGAGCGACCCUCAGGUCGCCGUGGCGGUGCCUGGGCAGUCCGCCUCCCGGGCGUCCAAAGCGCCCAAAGCAAUGGUGGUGCUGAAGCUGUCGGCGAAGCGGACCUUGGCGGCGGCUUCGGGGGUCGAGAUCCGAGAGACCUCCCCUCAGGCACGGUUGAUCAUGGCCCGGAGUGGGUAAGUAUCUUGGAACGUCUUCGUCCUGGCUUUUCAUUUGUACGUCCCGACCGUGAUUUUUCCUUCCUCCUCAGCAAGCGAAGCCAUGGCCUGACCGAUCUGGCUCCCCGAAAGGCCCUUAAGACGGCGUCGGCUUCCGCAGCCGGCGCCACUCCGGGCCUUGCCGUUCAGCUAACCUUCUCGCAAGGCGCUCCACAGCAGGGGGCUCAGGCGGCACCAAUCGCCGUGGAGCGAGUUUCCGAGGCCGGCUCUUCUGCCGAGGCAGCCAUCGUGCUAGGGGAGGCGGCUGACGCGGACGUGGCCCCGGCCUCACCGGACGUGCCGGCGGUGCUGGCACCUGUUGCUACUGAAGCUGCCGCCGUCCCAGUCGGGGAGCGACCUGUCGCUGCCGACGCUGAGACGGCCGAGGCGUCGGCGCCCGGUGCCUCGGAGGAGGGGGGCGUGGAGACGCGAUCCGUCCCGCCGAGCGGCAGCCUUGUCGCUGUGCGGCGGAGCUCCGAGGGUCGGCGUCAGUUGCUCCGGUUCCGGACCCGUGGUGCCUCGGAUCCCUUCUUCGUUCUCAACGAUGAGCGGGAGGAGCAAUCCUGGGACGAGCUCUGCGAGUGUGCCGAAGCAACGGUGGGGUCGCUCCGGUCGUCGCUGGAGGUUUUCUGCAGGGACGUCCCCAAAAUCCUUCAGGUAACGGUUUCAGGCAUACCUUUUCUUUUUUGUGGCCAAAGCGUCUCCCAUGACGCCCCGCUUCCUUUCCUCAGGAUCUGACGGAUCUGAGCGCCGCUAAGUCGUCGUUCAUCUGCCACGAGGUCGACGUCUGGGGCUCGCUGCGAUCCCUGAGGACCUCGCUCGCCGGGGCUACUGCACGCCUCUCUCAGCAGGGCGCCGAGGCGGCGGACCUUCGGUUGCUCUGCACUGAUCUGAGAGCCGAGGCGGCAGCGGCACGCACGGAGGCGGCAGCGGCGCGUGCAGAAGUGCAACGACAGCAGUCAGAGUUCGACCAGAUCGUCGAUGAGCGGGACCAAUCUCGGGGCCGGGCUGCCGAGGCCGAAAGCCGGGCUGGAGCCCUUGCAGCCGACCUAGCCGUAGCCCAGGCCGCAGCCUCGGAGCAGCGCAUCCGAGCCGGUGGUACGCCUUGGCCAUUUUUGGUUUUCGUUUCAGCUUGUUUCCUCCGCUUGUGUUUAAGACCUUUCGUUCUGGCUGUUCGCAGAGCUCGAGUCCGCCCUUGAUGAGUCUGCCAAGGCGCUCGCCGAGGCGCUUGCCGGGGCGGCCGAGCAGAGGGAGGCCGACCACGUGGCCAUGUCUGAGGCAGUCUCGGACUUCUACCGGGUCCUUGGCUCCGGCGACGUCCCCUCAGGAGGCUCCCCUCAAAGUCGCCUGCGGGCCUUGGGCGAUCAUGUGCGCGGUAGACUCCGCGAGGCGCUUCACCACGACGUCAGGCGGGCCUUCGCCGUGCUCUCUUCCCACUACGUCGUGGACCUGGAGCGGGUCAGUGAGGGAUAUUGCCUUCCUGACGAAGAUGAAGCCGCCCUGGCAGAAGUCCAGAGGCUCGAUGCGGCCGCCGCGGGUCCAAGCGCAGUGCUGGCGACCACCUUCGAGGCAGAGAUCCUCCCGCCUGCGCCGUCGUCCGAAGCCGGGAUGGACUCGGCCGAGGGCGGGGUCGAAGCCGAAGGCGCGGCCCCUUCCCGUGGUGACGCCUGACUCUGUCGGAGUAGUUUCUUGUAGGAUGCACGUGCGUCUUUCUGCGGCCGCUGAGGCCUGAACACUUUAUUACCGUUGCAUAAAGUCGUGCUCCUUUCCCUUUCAUUUUGCGUGUCCGGCCCCGUCUGUCAGUAGCAGGAUGGCUUCCCCAAGUGGGGGUCACUUUUCGUGGCGGGUGACGAGUGAGGUGUCUGUAACCCAGAGGCGUAGGAGUCCCUCGGCUCAGUCGGCCUUGCCACUUACAUGCACCCGUGUUCGCUCCUUGGGGUCCUACUUCCGACAUAGCCGGGGGAGCGCAAAAAGCCUUUUCGACUGAAAAUUUUGACGCAGAGGGGUUCCCCCCUUUUUAGCCCCCGAGGGAGGCGGGCUCUGCCGAGGCAAGGCUGACCCUUCCUUGAUGACUAAAACUUGCGUGGGGGCAAGAUGAGCGAACAGCUUGAAAGCAUCUUAAGGGUAGAGGCGACGUAGCUGUUAGACGUUCGAAGUGUUGGUGCAGAUCUCGCCUCGACUGUCGGCCAGUUCGUUUGUUCCGGGCUUCAGAACUUUGGCGAUGACAAGCGGCCCUUCCCACGGGAGCGCGUAGCCCCUGGGUGUUUCCAACAAGGGCCCGGGGUGCGGUGGUGGAGCUCCUUCUCUUCCCGCAGCAAGACGAACGACUUGGCGCGCCGCGCCUACCACCGAGCUCUGGCUCGGUCGAGGGGUAGCUCUCCUCGGUGGAGAUAUUGCAGGUAUGGGGUCUGCCAGCUUUGAUUAGGCGUGACCCCGCUUCGCUCCUCCUCGACGCGCAGCGUCUCGCCCUCGGGGCCGAGGGUGCCUCGGGCCGAGCUGAGGGUGUCUCGGACUGGGCCGAGGGUGCCUCGGGCUCGGGCGUGUCGUCGAUUUUGACGGAGGGUUGAUACAGGUCUCAGGAGCAGGCUUCCGGGGGAAACGUUAUUCACCCGGAGGCGGUACAGAGGCAGGCCCCUUUUGCCGAGGUGCGGGAUGAAAAGGCUGAGGGCCGCAAGACAUCCCAUAACUCUCUGUACGCCUUUCAAGUCCGCGAUGGGCCCCAUGCUAGUGAUGGCUGCGAUCUUCUCCGGGUUGGCUUCGAUGCCCCGCUCGGAGACGAUGAACCCCAAGAGCAUGCCUCGGGGCACCCCGAAGACACACUUUUCGGGAUUGAGCUUGACACCUUUCGCCUUGAGACAUCGGAAUGUCACUUCAAGGUCGGAAAGGAGGUCGGAGGCUUUCCUCGUCUUGACUACGAUGUCAUCGACGUAGGCCUCGACCGUGCGGCCAGUGUGCUCGCCGAACACAUGGUUCAUGCACCGCUGGUACGUCGCGCCCGCAUUCCUCAAGCCGAACGGCAUGGUGACAUAGCAGUACAUGCCGAAGGGUGUGAUGAAAGAAGUCGCGAGCUGAUCGGACUCUUUCAUCCUAAUUUGGUGAUACCCUGAGUAGGCAUCGAGGAAAGACAGGGUUUCGCACCCAGCAGUGGAAUCCACGAUCUGAUCGAUGCGAGGCAGAGGGUAGGGAACCUUCGGACAUGCUUUGUUCAGACCAGUGUAGUCUACACACAUCCGCCAUUUCCCCCCUUUCUUUCUCAAAAGCACAGGGUUGGCAAGCCAUUCGGGAUGGAAUACCUCUUUGAUGAACCCUGCCGUCAUUAGCUUGUGGAUCUCCUCGCCUAUGGCUCUGCGCUUCUCCUCGUCGAAUCGGCGCAGAGGCUGAUUGACGGGUCGGGCUCCGGCUCGGAUGUCCAGCGAGUGCUCGACGACAUCCCUCGGUAUGCCUGGCAUGUCCGAGGGACUCCACGCGAAGACGUCGGCGUUCGCGCGGAGAAAGUCGACGAGCACUGCUUCCUGUUUGGGAUCGAGCCCGGAGCCGAUCCGGGCUUGCUUGGAGGCGUCGCUGCUGGGUCGAGGGGGACGAACUUAACCGUCUCCGCUGGCUCGAAGUUGCUGGCAUGACGCUUCACGUCUGGCACCUCCUUAGAGAGGCUCUCCAGGUCGGCGAUGAGGGCCUCGGACUCGGCGAGGGCCUCGGCGUACUCCACGCACUCCACGUCGCAUUCGAACGCGUGUUUGUACGUGGGGCCGACGGUGAUGACCCCGUUGGGGCCCGACAUCUUGAGCUUGAGGUAGGUGUAGUUGGGGAUGGCCAUGAACUUCGCGUAGUAGAGCCUCCCCAAUACCGCGUGGUAGGUUCCUCGGAACCCGACCACCUCGAACGUCAGGGUCUCCCUUCGGAAGUUGGAGGGUGUUCCGAAGCAGACGGGAAGAUCGAGUUGUCCGAGGGGCUGGACGCGCUUCCCGGGGAUGAUCCCAUGGAAAGGCGCAGCGCCCGCCCGGACCGAGGACAGAUCGAUACGCAGAAGCCCGAGGGUCUCGGCGUAGAUGAUGUUGAGGCUGCUGCCUCCGUCCAUGAGGACCUUGGUGAGCCUGACGUCGCCGAUGACGGGGUCGACGACGAGCGGGUAUCUCCCUGGGCUCGGCACAUGGUCGGGGUGGUCGGCUUGGUCGAAGGUGAUGGGCUUGUCGGACCAGUUUAGGUAGACUGGCACCGCCACCUUCAACGAACAGACCUCCCGGCGCUCUUGCUUGCGGUGCCGAGCUGAGGCAUUCGCCGCUUGCCCGCCGUAGAUCAUGAAGCAGUCGCGGACCUCGGGGAACUCUCCUGCCUGGUGAUCUUCCUUCUUGUCGUCGUCGUGGGCCCUGCCACCCUCCGCGGGUGGCCCGGCCCUGUGGAAGUGGCGCCGAAGCAUGACGCACUCCUCAAGGGUGUGCUUGACGGGCCCCUGGUGAUAGGGGCACGGCUCCUUGAGCAUCUUGUCGAAGAGGUUGGGACCUCCGGGGGGUUUUCGAUGGUUCUUGUACUCGGCGGCGGCGACAAGGUCCACGUCGGCGGCGUCGCGUUUCGCUUGCGACUUUUUCUUGCCCUUCUUCUUGGUGCCGCGCUGAGCUGAUGCCUCGGGGGCAUCUUCCGAGGGGCGGCCCUAGGGCUGCUUGUCCUUCCGGAAGAUAGCCUCGACCGCCUCCUGGCCGGAGGCGAACUUGGUGGCGAUGUCCAUCAGCUCGCUCGCCCUGGUGGGGGUCUUGCGACCCAGUUUGCUAACCAGGUCGCGACAGGUGGUGCCGGUGAGGGACGCGCCGAUGACAUCCGAGUCGGUGAUGUUGGGCAGCUCGGUGCGCUGCUUCGAGAAUCGCCGGAUGUAGUCUCGGAGAGACUCUCCCGGCUGCUGUCGGCAGCUUCGGAGGUCCCAGGAAUUCCCGGGGCGCACGUACGUGCCCUGGAAAUUACCGGCGAAAGCUUGGACUAGGUCGUCCCAGUCGGAGAUCUGCCCCGGAGGCAGGUGCUCCAACCAGGCGCGAGCGGUGUCGGAGAGGAACAGGGGGAGGUUGCGGAUGAUGAGGUUGUCAUCGUCCGUUCCACCCAGUUGGCAGGCCAGACGGUAGUCCGCGAGCCAUAGUUCCGGUCUCGUCUCCCCCGAGUACUUUGUGAUAGUAGUCGGGGGUCGGAACCGAGUCGGGAACGGCGCCCGUCGUAUGGCCCGGCUGAAGGCCUGCGGACCGGGUGGUUCGGGCGAGGGACUCCGAUCCUCCCCGCUGUCGUAGCGUCCCCCACGCCUGGGGUGGUAGCCUCGGCGCACCCUCUCGUCGAGGUGGGCCCGACGAUCGCGGUGAUGGUGCUCGUUGCCGAGGCGACCCGGGGCCGCAGGCGCUGUGUUGCGCGUGCGCCCGGUGCAGACCGAGGCUUCCCGCAUGAAUCGGGAAGUCACGGCAUGAUGUUCCGAGGGGUUCCCCUGCCUUCGGGAGGCGGAGCUCUCGGUCCGCCGGACCGCGGCGCCUUCCAGGAGAUUCUUGAGCUCUCCCUGGAUUCGCCGCCCCUCGGUGGUUGAUGGCUCCGGCAUCACGCGGAGGAGUAUUGCUGCUGCAGCUAGGUUCUGGCCGACCCCACUGGAUGCGGGUGGCGGCCUGACCCUGACAUCGUCGGCGACGUGGUGCUGGAAGCCCUGGGGUAGAUGACGCAUUUCUCCGGCCUGAGGUUGGCCCGCCCAUGCCGGCCCGACGUCCCGGCGGAUUGGCUCAAGCGCUCCUGCUCCCUCGUCGAGCCUGGCCUGCACCCCGCGGAUUUGCUCGAGUUGUGGGUCGUGACCCCCCGCCGGAACGGGGACCACAGCUAGCUCCCGCGGGAUGUCAACGCGAGGCAUCGGCCUAGGGAGAUCACCGUCCUCCGGCAUGCCGAGAUGGUUGCCUUCGGAGGGCCCCCCCUAGAUCGACGUGGAAACAUUCGCGGCUCGGGCCGCAGUCCUCGUCGUCGAGGCUACGGCUACCGUCGGAACAGUCGGAAAGGCAGCAGUCGCAUGCGGUCAUGAAGCCCCGCAUGGCACUGGGGUUGCCAAGUCCGGAGAAAUCCCAACAGACGUUGGGCUCGUAGGUCGAGACGUCCGUCAGCCGGUCCCAAGGUGACCGCAUACGAAACCCCAGAGGGUUUGGAUUCGCCUCUACGAGGGCGUCCGCCAAAGCGGAGCCGCUAGGCGGGUCGAGGCUAAAUCCGAAAGGCGUGGGAUGGGAAUCGGUCGAUACCUCUUGGUCGACGGGCGGUGAUGAGGUCACGACGGGGACUGACUGCACCAUCGUCUCAGGUACGAGGGUGACACCCAACAAGCCUUUCGCGAGCGUGCUGGCGUCGUCCGUUUGCUCGGGAUUGACGCGUCGCGGGGAGACAGCGCUCGUCUUCGUCUCAAGCGCGAGGCCGAUGCCCGGCGCGCCCCCCGUUGGAGUGCUGGCGUUGUCGACUCGCUCGACGGCCGACGAGGCGCCGCCUUCUGCUUGGCCUUGGUUGCCCCGCCUCCUCGUCCUCCGUCGACGGGGAAGAGGACGGGGCGAGCCCGAAGGUUGUUCUUCCACCACGCGGGGAAGACGUCGUCGAUCCCGCCGUCGGCGGGCGGACUGUCGGCCGCCACUGUCGCUGCCGCCCGGCGGUGGAAAGAGUAUCAUGUCGUAGCUGCCGUCGAGGGACUUGAACUCAAGGCUCCCGAAACGGAGCACCGUCCUGGGCCGGAGAGGUUGCUAGAGACUACCCAUCUGGAGCUUGACGGGAAGCUGUUCGUCAACACGCAGCAGGCCCCUACCUGGCGCGCCAACUAUCAGCGUUUCGAGACCGGGGGGUCCCUGAGCCGACGAGUGAAGUGUCGCUGCGUGCCCCAGCCCAGAUGGGUCGACACGAGGCCGAGCGCGAAGGGGGGAAGUGAGGAGGCCGGAGAUGGGCGUGAGAGAGGUGGAAAUCCCGCGGCCUUCGUGUUCGUCCUGCGCCCAGGUCGGGUGCGCUUGCAGUAGGGGGUUACAAGCGUCCACACGGGGGAAGGAGCGAGCGGCCUCACGCGAGCGCCCGUCUCGUCCUUGUCCCCGCGCGGCCAACCUUCUCUAAGAGGGCCCUGGUCCUUCCUUUUAUAGGCGUAAGGAGAGGGUCCAGGUGUACAAUGGGGGUGUAGCAGAGUGCUACGUGUCUAACGGAGGAGAGCUAGUGCCCUAAGUACAUGCCAUCGUGGCGGCCGGAGAGAUUUUGGCGCCCGGUUUGUGUGAUGUCGUGGCCGUCGGAGGAGCGCUGGAGCCUGGCGGAGGGACAGCUAUCGGGGCCGUCGAGUCCUUGCUGACGUCCUCUUGCUUUCGUAAGGGGGCCGAGAGCCGCCAUCGUCAGGGAACGUGCGGGGCGCCAUCAUCGCCUAUCUGGCGGAGCGAGCCAGAUGGGACGCCGGUCUUGUUCCCCGUAGCCUGAGUCAGCUUGGAGUAGGGUAAUGAUGGCGCCUCCUGUUGACGUGGCCGGUCCACGCCCUAGGUUGGGUGAUGUGGAGGUUCCUCCGAGGUCGAGGUCGAGUCCGUCUUCCAUGGUCGAGGCCGAGUCCGAGCCUCUAGGUCGGGCGAGGCGGAGGCCGUUGGCUGAGGCCAGGGCGGAAUUUGAGUCCUGGGGUCGGGCGAAGCGGAGUUCGUCGUCUUCUGGGGCUGAGCCCAAGUCCGAGCCCUGGGUCGGGCGGAGCGGAGUUCGCCGUCUUCCGGGGCUUUGCCCGAGUCUGAGCGCUGGGUCGGGCGGAGCGGAGUUCGCUGUCUUUCGGGGCUUAGCCCAAGUCCGAGCCCUGGGUCGGGCAGAGCGGAGUUCGCCGUCUUCCGGGGCUUUGCCCGAGUCCGAGCCCUGGGUCGGGCGGAGCGGAGUUCGCCGUCUUCCGGGGCUUAGCCCGAGUCCGAGCCCUGGGUCGGGCGGAGCGGAGUUCGCCGUCUUCCGGGGCUUAGCCCAAGUCCGAUCCCUGGGUCGGGCGGAGCGGAGCUUCCUAUGGUGCGUGCGGCCGGGCCUGACUGCCUGUCAGCCUCACUCUGUCAAGUGGCACCGCAGUCGGAGCGGCGCGGGCGACGCUGUCUUUCUGUCAGACCGGUCAGUGGAGAGCCGAAGUGAUGGCGGUCACUUCGGCUCUGUCAGCUGAGGGGCGCGCAUCAGGAUAAAGGUGUCAGGCCACCUUUGCAUUAAAUGCUCCUGCGAUUUGGUCGGGGUUGCUUCUCGGCGAAGACAGGGCCUCGGGCGAACCGAGAGCGUGUUCGCCGCUGGAGGGAGGCCUCAGGCGAGGCGGAGAUCCUCCGGGGUCGGCUGCCCUUGUCCGAGGCUAGGCUCGGGCGAGGCGUGAUGAUCCCUGACUUGAUCGCACUCAUCAGGCCUUUGCAGGUUUAUGCCGAUGGGGGUUACCAGCUGAGAAUUAGGAGCCUUGAGGGUACCCCUAAUUAUGGUCCCCGACAAUUGGUAUUGUAAGACAAAGAGGAGUGGGCAUAAAAAACCAAAACGUAAAAUUCUUAAGUAACCAUCGCAACCUAGUAACCUCUGCUAUCAUAAAAGUCAUACUUUCAUAGUUUCAUAGCACAUAACUCAACCUUGUACUCGACCGAGAAACCACAUUUUCCUUCUUAAUCUUAAAAGCAAUGAGGGAACCAAAAAAUAUAAUAGGUAGAAAAGAGUGACGAAUAGAGGAGUUGAUGAAUUAAAUAGCAUCAAAGUAGGCUUAGAGUUGAAGAGAUAUAGGGUACAUGAAGAAGAGAUGACGAGUAAUGGUCCCACGAAGAUAACGUAGGACACGAAGAUGACAUGGUGUAGAAACACCGCUUUUAAUCUAAUCACAAUCUUACUUGCCAACCAUUAGGCAAAUAAAUGAUGAUUAACUCAAAUUCGUUCGUUUAUCGAGCCCACCAUCCGAUAGAAUUCAAAAGAAUCUAUGUUUGAUAUAGGAUCAAUAAAUGAGUAGCAAAGUCCACAAUCAAUAUUACAAGCUUUAUCUCACAUACAAUACAUGAUCAAAAUAACGACCUACAUCCCGACUUUCUCCCCACACGACCCGACAUUUGAACACCCACACUUCCAAACAUUUACGUCAAUAGAAUUGUGAUGUUAACAUAGGAUUGAAAUUUCGGCUACAAAACUUUUGUCUACGUAAAUAGACACAACGAGUAAAGUUAGGCUUGAUUAUAGGGUUAACUGUGUGAAGAAAAUUUAAUGAAGCACAAUCCAACUCAUCUGUUGGAUAUCUUGAUCCUUUCAUCAGUAACGAAGAAUCAGUAAAAAUGAGCAGAUUAAGGUUGGUUUUGCUAUAGUUCUCAAGCUCAAGAAGAACAAAUAAAUACCUAAACAAGGUUCAAAUUUAGUUUCAACUUCUAUUCCUCCACCUUCAACUCAAAGUUAAAAAUCAAGCUAUUACAAGUUGGUUGAUGUUACUGCUGGUGGUAUUCAUGAAAAGGGGUUGUUGGAGACCAACGAGUGUAUCAUAUCAAGGACCCAACUGAGCAAAGAAGAGUAGAUUGUAAGCAGCGAAAAUCGGUAGGAAGCAGUAGUUACAACCAGUCGAAACUAGUUGAAAGCAAGUGCAAGGAGCUGAGUUAUCUUCUCACGCGUGCUCUUUUCAUGGCUACCAGAAUGCUUUGUUGUUCAUGUUCAGAAUAUAAGAAAUGCAGACGAGUUAUCAUCUCACGCGUGUUCUAAAAAUUGUACGUACUAGUCUACAGGGGUGGCCUGGCCUCUGCUGCAUGCAAGGCUGAGGUAAAAGUAUAAUAACACAGAUGCCGGACGGCUGAUAUGUUCUGCUGCUCGUUACACUCCACAGAAGGCCUUGAGUUUAUCUUGAUGGAGAGCGCCUUCUUCGGAAACGCAGAAGCAGACGAAGUCGUUGUUGUCAUGGGGCUUGAAACGGGGAGGGUGUUCGUCGUCCACGAGCUCGUCUGCCACCUGAACCUGGAAGCUGGGGACCGAGAACAGCAUCGCGGAGUAUCUGGGGACGUCCCCAGCGACGGUGAUCCGGUGGAAUGGAGCAUAUAGACGGUCGUUCGUCCAUGCCUGGAGUAAGGUGAGAAGCACAGCGCAGGAAGGUCAGAAGACAGGAUCAGUGUAGAAAUGGAUGGCUUUAAUCUUAGGAUCGAGAUGUUAUCUGAUGUUGAACAGUUCAGGCAAGACCUGUGGUUUCAAAAUGAAUUGGGGGCAAACUAAGUUCUGAAUGGCUGCUCAAACUGAAUGCCCGGCUAGGUAUUCGCUCAAACAUUCACAGUUCGUGUAACCGAACAUUCAGUUUGCACAACCAAUUGAUGGCACUUAGUGCAGUGCUUUAGCACAAGAUUAGGAGGCAUCGACCGCAAGAGUUGGUACCCGGAGCUCGUUGCCGACCAUGAAAACCAGCGACGUGGGCGACGGCUGGACGACGAUCCACUCGCCACCCCUGCUCUGCAUCUCCAGCCCGGCCACCUCGUGCUGGCAGACGACGCUGAGCCAGUUGGUGUCCUGAUGCGCCCCGUACCUGACCACCUUCUCCGCGGCGUUGGGCGCCUUGUACUCCGACAUCCGGAACAGGUGCCACAUGGACGCGCUCAGCGCGUCGUGGUGCUUGGCCACCCCGAGCCCUUCCAUCACCAUCCGCCGCACGGCCUCCUCCAGCUGGAAGAUCCGCUGCGCCGCCUCAACGACAGUACCGCUGCGCCGCCGCAGCAGAGGACAGGGUCAAACCAAAGCCUCGACCUCUUAUCCAUUCCAGCGAAGAACAAAAAGAUCUGCGAGAAGGGACGAGGUUCUCUUAUGCUUACCAGAAACUGUCGCUGUUGUCGCCGCCGUCGGGCCACAUGAGGCGGGCGAAGCCGCGGACGGACUCGUCCUUGGUGCCGUCCACGAUGGCGAGGCUCUCGUAGCCAGGGAACCCCGGGACGUCGCCAAGGUAGCCGUGGAACGGCCUAUCGGCGCCGUAGCAGUUGCGGCGCUUGGCGUCGGCGGACAGCGCGAAGAGCGGCCUUACGGCGCCUUCGAAGAGCUCGGCCCGGAGCCUAGGGGCCAGAGCCGGGUAGUGCGCCUCGAAGCAGCCGAAGGUGGCCAGCGCGUCCAUCACCUCGCCGCGCGCCGUGCCCCAUGCCUGGCCGCCCGGCGCAGACGGGUCCACCUCGGAGAAGUCGAUCCUGGGGAGCUUCUUCGCCUCGCCGCCCAUCCUCGCCGUCGCAGUCACGGAAUCUCGUGAAGCUGGGCUGCGUGCUCUGCUUUUGGUUUGCUGACCCGCGGUGGUUGGACGCCGUUCGUUGACUUCGAAUCGAGCCGCGAGCGGAAGACAGGUGGGCUUCAUAUUUCAGACCCAUAAUUUCACCGGACCCGGCGAGUGAAGCCCAUUGAGUUCUCUGUUUCAGAGCCCGUACAGGCCGAAAAGUUGGCCCAAGUAGAACCCGAACAGACUGUCGAUCUAUCUAAUGGCCGGCGAAACGUUGCAGCCAGAAUGUUCGGUCAGACCGUCAGACAAGCACUGACGUUAGCUGCAUCAUCUGAAGGAGAUUGACGGCCACUGACGUUUGCACGCACGAAAGCUUAAGACUGAUUCAACCCUUUAUAUCAUUGUUUUGCGUGAAUCAUCGCAUGCCAAGAAUUUAAAAAAAAAAACGGGUCGUUUGCAGCGAAUUGAAUUGGUCUUAGAUGGCACAACAUAACUAAGUUUAUCAUCCAACGUGACGAAAACGAUCGGCCAGAGUGUUAAGCUUGCUCAUGUUUAUAUAAUGUUUGAUCGUCUGUAACGAUUUCUGGGUGAAUUCUAGCAAAAAAAAGCCCUAAAGACAUGUUUAGAAACAAGGGAAAAUAAAGAUACUAGAGAGGCUAAAAUCUCCUUGUUUUUUAAAGUUAAAUGGCAAAGAAAGUUUAGCCUCUCUAAUACUCUCGUUCCCCUUUACUUCCAAAGAAGACUUAAGAGUGUGUUUGUUUGUAACGACGGAACGGAAUGAGAUAGAACGAUCUCUUAAAUAAGUUUGUUUGAUUCAGAGUCAAUGGUUGGAACAGGACUAAUGUCCCUAGUUGUCUCUCGAAAAUAGAGAGACGAGAAAGGACGUCAGAAAAUGUUUCUGUCCUACUGUCUGUUCUAAGCUGUCCCGCAAUAAAACACAUCCUAAAUGGUCUGCAAAGGGUUGUUUUCCACUGGCUUGCAGGGGCAACAACGUCGAUGGAGAGGACGAAUGGAAAAAUGACCAGAGUGGUUUUUUGAAUGUUCUGGGGCGCUCCUCGGGUUCAUUUCAUCUGCCCGGAAGCCUGAAGACUUUGAGCUAAUGAUUGUGUUAAUCAUAUGGUAAGCACCAAAUUACUCCUAGCAUUAGUUAAUGGUGAACAAUAUAUACAUGAUGUUUGUUCGUUUCGGAUUAAAGUCAGUUGUUCAGACUGCUAUAACUGUAAUUUAUAGAGACAAAACACUGUAUAAAGUGUGUUGUCUCACAGUGAUUGCAUGCUUAACUAGUUUUUUCUUUUUUGAAUGAAUGGGCAGGAGUCUCUGUCUCUCAGAGUCUCAGUAUCUGCACUCAAGUAGUACCGAGAUAACAGCCCAAGGAAUCGAGACGAGGCGACGGAGAUAUAUUUACAUUCCCAUAAAGAACUUGCCGAAACUGUACCCCGUCGGCAAGGCAAUCGUUGUCCAGUCGCCGGCGCAAAUGCAGGCAGACUUUUCCUCGCACGAUGUGUGGACUGGCUGACCAGAGCCAAUCGUGGCCUGCAAUAAACUUGUCGUUCUGCAGCUAUCCGUGCCGCCGAAAUCCCCCACCACCGAUGCCUACAGGCGCGAGCACACGACGAGGUGGGCUCAAGAUCUCUCGGCCGGAUCAGGUCUACUGAUCCGCAGUUCUCUACUGAGCAGGUCCACGCACCGGUACACCACUCUCCCAUCAGUCUAU